rnacentral:tRNA from 1 species
GUUCAAUAUAGUAAUAGUAUAUAUGUUAAUAUUUUGAUACAUUAUAAAAUUAUUUAAUAAAUUUAAUA